AGAGAGAGAGAAGAUAGGGGAAGGGCAGAGAGAGAGGGAGACACAGAAUUCGAAGGAGACUCCAGGCUCUGAGCUGUCAGCAUAAAGCCUGACGCGGGGCUCGAACCCACGAACCGCGAGACAGUUGGACGCUUAACUGACUGAGCCACCCAGGUGCCCCAGAUUAGCUACAUUUCAAUGUUUGCACCCACUUGUAGUUUCACUUGGGCUUAGUUUUUGGGAGAUUCUCUCUUCCUGCUAUUACCCCAGAUCAGACCCUCACUCCUUUUCACCUAGAAUUACUACACUGACCUAACUAGUUUCGUGGCAAGUCUAUCUAUUCCUUCCAUCAGUUUACUCCAUCUUGUAUAUAAACCCGCCAGACUGACUUUACUAAGAUACUGCCUUGUUGAUGCUAUUCUUAUUUAAAUCAAAAUGUCAUCUUGGUAUUCAAGUCCCUGGAUGGAGAGAUCUCUCUACCUAUCUUACCUCAUUUCUCCAGCAGGGAUCCUCCAUUCAAUUCACUUCUGUAUUCUCCAGUAUGUCAAGCUCACCCCUUCAGGUGGUUCUUCACCCUGGCUGCACUUAAGAAUCACAUGGGAAGGGGGUGCUUGGGUGGCUCAGUCGGUUAAGAAUCUGACUCUUGAUUUCGGCUCAGGUCAUGAUCUCAUGGUCUGUGAGUUCCAGCUCCACACAGAGCCUGCUGGGAUUCUCUGUCUCCCUCUCUGUCUGCUCCUCUCCCACUUACAUGCUCUCUUUCAAAAAUAAACAUUUUUUUAAAAUAAUCAUAUGGGAAGAUUAACAAUAUCAACAACAAAACCCCAAACAAACAGAAAGCACCUCUUUUUCGGACUAAACCAAAAAUGAAUUCACAUAAGAGAGGACAAUCUUCAUAGGUUACCAAGGAAGGAGGCUCCUGGUUAAACGUUGGCUCCCAUAACCCACUCUUAUUUGUCUGAGAUUGGUAUUUCUUUUGCUUUGGCAGACUAUUUCCUUUGACACUUGAAACCCUGAGAGAUUCCCGAGAGAAUGAGACCUACAAGCAGGAUGUUUCUUGGGAGACAUUCCUGAAGGGUGGCAAGGAUCAGAAACAGGCUCCAGUGGUGGGGCCACUCAACAUCAACUCAACUCAACCUAAUUUGUAUUUUUGCUUUGGAGUGGUAAGGAAUCAAUCAAACAACAAAGGUCAAGAGACUCCUGUGUCUUGUAUCUCUCCAGAGAGACUUCUGCAGCAGAAAUCUGAAAACGAUUUCUUUCAAAGUCAGCAUCUAAUUAUAAGUCAAGCUGCUCCUACUCACUGGGGCCCGAUUCCAGUGAUUCCUAAAUGUUCCAAGAUCAUCUUCCAGCUCAGAGGCCCGCCCUGAAAUCCUUCAUGACGGAGGGGUGAAGGGAGGUGAGUCCUGUCGUUUUGCUUGCCCAUAUGUUGUGGAUAUUGCUUCCCACUUGGAUAAAGGGUUCAAGUAGUUAUUUCCUACUCAAGACAUCUUAAGUGUCGCACCCUCAGGGACAUUUGCCGUGAGCUCUCUAAGGUUGAGUUGAAUGCUCCUCUUAUGGGUUCCACACACCACAUGCUUAUUGUUAAUGAGGAAAUAAGCCCAGCUGACAUUAUUGAGCAUCUAAUAUGUUCAUGGACUAGGCUAAGUGUUUUACAUGCAUUAUCUUAUUCAACCUUUGCCACAAAAUCCUAUAAUAAGCACUUAAAAAAAAUUUUUUUAAUGUUUAUUUUUGAGAGAGAGAGACAGACAGACAGAGUGCGAGUGGGGAAGGGGCAGAGAGAGGGAGGCACAGAAUCUGAAGCAGGCUCCAGGCUCUGAGUUAUCAACACAGAGCCUGACACAGGGCUCGAACUCACGAACCGUGAGGUCAUGACCUGAUCCGAAGUCGGACGCUUAGCCGACUGAGCCACCCAGGCGCCUCUAUAGUAAGCACUUUUUAAAAGAUAUUUUUAAGUGUAUUUAUUUGUUUACUUAUUUUGCGACAGUGUGAGAGCACGAGUGGGGGAGGAGCAGAGAGAAAGAGGAGAGAGAAAAUCCCAAGCAGGCUCUGAGCUGUCAGCACAGAGCCAGGUUCGGGGCUCCAUCUCACCAACAGUGAGAUCAUGACCUGAGCAGAAAUCAAGAUUCGGACGCUCAACCUACUUAGCCACCCAGGCACUCCUAUAAUAAGCACUUUUAUUAUUAUUGCCAUUUUACAGAAGAGGAAACUGAGGGACAGCUCAAGGUAACAGCUGGUAGGUGGCCAAGCCAGGACUAAAAUGCCAAUUUAUCUGAGGCUGGAGUUCUUGCUCUUUUCUUUUCUUUUCUUUUUUAGUUUAUUUAUUUAUUUUGAGAGAGAAAGAGAGGGAGAGAGAGAGAGAGAAAAAGGGUGAGUGGGGGAGGGGCAGAGAGAGAGAGAGAGAGAGAGAGAGAGAGAGAAUCCUAAGUAGGCUCCGUGCUGUCAGUGCAGAGCCCAAUGUGGGGCUUGAACUUACGAAUGGUGAGAUCAUGACCUGAGCUAAAGGCAGACAACCAACUGGCCCACCCAGGUGCCCGGCCCCUGCUUUUUAAAGUUUAUUUGUUGGAUCUGCUGCUCUUAAGUACUGUGCUUUACUAUUUGCCUCUAAUAGGGUCUUUACCAACACCCUGCUGCAAUGGUCUAGGUAAACCCUGAACCCUAGAAAGUUAGCUCUAUCAUGGGAGGAAGCAGAUCUCCUGUAGAUCCCCCCCUGCCUAACCAUCUAAAUAAAGCAGGUCCUGGCACAGAAACUGGCAUUAAACGCUCCAGUUGAAAAACAUUCUGAACAAAGAGAAAACAAAACCCUAGGCUUCCACCAGGUGGUGGCGUGGGAGUCCAAGAGAAACGUGCCCUCGGGACUCUUCCUUUCCCACUCCUUUCCCACAGAAUAUCCCAAGCAUUCUCACUGUUUUCUUUCCCUUUCCAGAGAAAAGCGAGUUGGUGGGAGGAACAGUUUUGAGAUAAUGUUCAGGCAUGUAUUGACACACAUCUGACAAUUUAAUUUAUGACCUUAUGCUUUGGCCCCAAAGGGAAGGUUGAUUCUACUCCACCCUUUCAGAUUUAUGCACUUCUUUGAAAGACCUCAAAGUGGUUUGCAGACUCUUGUCACCAACGAAAAGUCAGAAAUAAAAUCUGAAUUGCACAAAUCAUUGAAGAAGGCUGUGCUGUGGCGUAGAAAGUCUCCCUGGCUGGAUUCAGAUGACUCUGCCAUGAACUAAUGGGGGACUUCAGGCAAGUCCCUUCUCUCUGGACCUCCAUAUCCUCAGCUGAAAAAUAAGGAGGUGAGAUGAGGCUUCUAACACAGAAGUUUUCCACCCCUCCACCCCCCCCCCCCACCCUACCAGCGUCUGUACAAAGGACAUUAUACAGCAGCAUUAUAGCAUGGCAGUAAUAAAGAUUAAGGACUCUGGUUCAAGUUUCAGCUUGGCCACCUACAAGCUCUGGGGUUUGGGGCAAGUUACUUAACCUCUCUGGGCCUCAGUUUCCUCAUCUGUAUAAUGGGAAUGGUCCUGUACGUCCCUCACAGGGUUCUUGCAAGGACUGAGUGAGGUAUAAAGUCUUAUCUCAGUGCUUGGCACACAGCUAUUCACUGAAUAGCUUUCAGUGAAAACUAUUGUCACACAGAACCGAAUCUCGCGUUUUAGCAACUCUAUCUACACUUAGUUUGGAUGUGCAUUUAGUCAUCAGCAAAAUAGGGGGAAGGCUUUAAGUAAUAAACCACAGUCAGGCUUGGCCCUUUCAGAAGUGUAAGGGCAAAUGCGUUUCGUGAGUACAAAGCAAGGCUAAAAGUAACCACAAUCAGUUGAAAUCUUCAUACAUUGUUGGUAGGAGUAUACAAGAUACAAACACUUUGGGAAACAGUCUGGCUGUGUCUUCUAAAACUCUUUUUCCUAUGACCCAGCAUUUCUACCCCUAGGUAUUUACCCAAGAAAAAGUAAAACAUAUGUCCACAAAAACACUUGUAUGAAAACAUUCUUAGCAGCUUUACUUUUUUUAAAAAAAGAUUUUAUUUUUAAGCAAUCUCUACAUCCAGCAUGGGUGCUCAAAUUCACAACCCUGAGAUUGAGAGUCACAUACACUAUAAGCUGAGCCAGCCAGGCACCCCGCAGAUUUACUUUUAAUAGCAAAAACUGGACUUCCAUCAGCAGGAGAAGGGAGAAUGGAUAAGCAAACUGAGCUAUGAUCACAACAUGGAGUAACACUCGGCAAUCAAAAGGAGUAAACCACUGGGGCGCUUGGGGGGCUCAGUUGGUUAAGCAUCUGACUAUUGAUUUUUGGCUCAGUUCAUGAUGUCACAGUUCGUGAGAUCGAGCCCCAUCUUGGGCUCUGUGCUGAUAGCACGGAGCCUGCUUGGGAUUCUCUCCCUCUCCCUUUGCCCCUCUCCCCCUUGUGCUCUCUCGCCCUCAAAAUAAAGAAAUAAACAAAUCAAUGAAAGGGGCUAAAUACUGUAUAUACAAUGACAGGGAUGAUUCUCAAAAACAUCAGGCUGAGUAAAAGAACUCUUAUACAAAAGAAUUCAUACUAUAUGUUUCCAUUUAUAUGAAGGUCUGUAACAGGCCAAACCAACCAAUGAUGGGCAAAAAAUCAGAAGAGCGGUUGCCUCUGGGGGUGAAGGGAAGGGAAAAUCUGAGAAGGGAUAAGAGGAAGCCUUCUUGAGAGAUGAUAGUGUUUUAUAUUUUAGUAGGUGGUUAAGUUACACCGUUACAUUUGUCAAAACUCAGCAAAGGUACAAUGCUUGUGCAUUUCAUCUUAUGUAUAUUUUACCUCAAAAGGAAAACAAGAAUAAGCGCAUAUUGAAUUCAAGUUAAGGAUAGGCAUGUGGAAAGUGCUUAGGAGUGGGGACGUGUACUGGUGUCUGCAGUUUCAAAAAGACAAAAAGACAGUGGACAGACGGAGAGAUGGAUAGCUGAUGGAUGAAUAAAGGCUAGGAUAGGAAAACAUUAGUGGUGGAAUCUAACCAGUAAGUAACAAGGUAUCCACUGGAAAAUUCUUCCAACUUUGCUGUGUGUUUCAAAUUUCUCAUAAUGAAGUUUUUCUUUUUGGAAAAAAAAAUGUAACCACAAGGUUUCGUAUCCUGCAUGGAGUGAUUGUGGUUUUUUUUGUUUGUUUUUUUUUUGUUUUUUUGUUUUUUUUUUUUUACAAAUGUAAGAAGGCUUCAUUGGAGGAAGGCAGACCACAAACCUAGGCAAAUAUUUCCUGAGCACCUGUGAUACACCAGGCACCGUGCCAGACUAGGCCAAGGCUACAAAGAGGAAGAACAUAGCACUUGCCCUCGAAGGGUCUGUAGGGACCAUCUGACAAACACACAUGUCACUGUCAUCCUACACUGUGGAGAUGCUAAGGUGAGUGAAAUUUCAUCUAGUAGAAAAAGCAUCUUAAUUAUUCUUACCACAAAAAAAGAAGUGAUAAGAAUGGAACGUGAUUGACGUGUUAGGUAACACGACAGUGGCAAUCAUAUUGCAAUAUAUAAAUAUAUCGAAUCAACACACUAUAUACCCUGAACUUACAUAAGGUUAUAUGUCAAUUAUAGCUCAAUUAAAAAAUAGUAACUAAAAAAGGAAAAGUGCCUGGCAUUGAAGACAUGUGGGUAGUAUUGCUGCAAUAUGAUUGGAAGGCAUUUCCAAGCCAGAACCCACAGAGAGUCUCUCGAAGGCCACACUGAGGUGAUAAUUUGGCGAUCCAGUGGGGCCCAUUCAAGAAUUUUAAGCCAACAAGUAACAUCCUUGGAAAAUUGCUGGGAGAAAGGGGGCAGCCACAAUAGAUAUCUUUGCUUUAGGGGGGUUGGCAGGCAAGGGAGCUUUUCAUGUACCUUCGAUGAGCAGAGGGAACUGAUGGAAGCUCUCAUGGGGAGGAGGGAAGUUCAGAAUGACCCAGGGCACAAAGGGAUGAGAUUCUGGUUUCACCUUCAUGGAAACAGGCAGCUGUUUAGUCUAUGCCCCUCUCUUCCUCCUUUGCUCCAUGAUGUUGUGGCUCUGUAAGGCUAUAAUGGUUAUUUAUAGCUCGCAUCUAUUCUUUUUUUUUAAGUUUUUAUUUAUUUAAGUAAUCUCUACAUAUACAAUGUGGGGAUCCAACUCACAACCCUGAGACCAAGAGUUUCAUGCUCCUGUUAGUGGGAAUGCAAACUGGUGCAGCCGCUCUGGAAAACAGCAUGGGGGUUCCUCAAAAAAUUAAAAAUAGAACUACCCUACAAUCCAGCAAUUGCACUACUAGAAAUUUAUCCAAAGGAUUAAAAAAUGCUGAUUGGAAGGGGCACAUGCACCCCAAUGUUUAUAGCAGUGCUAUGAACAAUAGCCAAAUUAUGGAAAGAGCACAAAUGUCCACUGAGUGAUGAAUGGAUAAAGAAGAUGUGGUGUAUAUAUACACAAUGGAAUAUUACUCAGUGAUGAAAAAGGAUGAAAUCUUGCCAUGUGCAACAACGUGGACGGAACUGGAGGGUAUUAUGCUAAGGGAAAAAAGUCAGUCAGAGAAAGUCAGAUAUCAUAUGAUUUCACUCAUGUAGAAUUUGAGAAACACAACAGAUGAAUAUAGGGGAAAAGAAGGAAAAAUAGGAUAAAAACAGAGACGGAGGCAAACCAUAAAAGACUCUUAAAUACAGAGAACAAACUGAGGGUUGAUGGGGGUGGGUUAAACGGGUGACUGGGCAUGAAGGAGGGCAUUUUUUGGGAUGAGCACUGGGUGUUGUAAGAGAUGAAUCACUGGUUUCUAUUCCUGAAGUCAAGACUACACUGUAUGUGAACUAGAGAUUUAAAACAAACAAAAAAAAGUGUUGUGCUUUUCUGAUUGAGCCAGCCAGGCACCGCUGGCCAGCAUCUAUUCUGAUUGUUAGUCUACUCUGAAUGGUCAGUUCCCAAGACAUAAUGAUGUUAAAUAUUUUUUAAAAAAUUUUAAUGUUUGUUUAUUUUUGAGAGAGAGAGAAAGAAAGAGUGCGAGCGGGGCAGGGGCAGAGAGAGGAGACACAGAUUCUGAAGCAGGGUCCAGGCUCUGAGCUGUCAGCACAGAGCCCCAUGCGGGGCUAGAACCCAUGAACGAUGAGAUCAUGACCUGAGCUGAAGUUGGACACUUAACCGACUGAGCCACCCAGGCGCCCUGCUGUUAAAUAUUUUUAACAUCACUCCUACCCACCUCAUAGGGUUGCUGCAAGGUUAAUUAAUAUAAUGUAUGUAAUCUGCCCAGCACAUGCUAAGUCUUCAAUAAAUGAGGUCAGGGAACCAUAUCUGAUGCUCCAGUUUGUGGCUUGGAUAUAGGGUGACCUCAGCACAAGCCCACCAAGACCCCCAAUAGUCUCUAAAGAAGGCACUUGAAGCCCCUGAGGCCCAUUCCAACCCACACAUAUUGUGAUCUUUAUCAAACCCAUCUCCACCCCACCCCCCACCCAAAUACCAUGCAUAUUCCUAUGGAACAACUGAGAAGCCCCAGUUGGACCCAGUCAGUCUCUCAUUUAUUCUCCUCUGUCUUUUGAGAAUGGAUCUGCUGUGGCGGCUGGCAGGCCACACCCUCAAGAUGGUGCCACCAGGAGCACGUAGGGCAGGUUGCCAAAAAGGGCCCGUUAUGGGUUUGCCAGCCUUCUGGACUCUAACAGGGCUUACCAUCUGUGCCUGUCCUUUGGCAAAAUUACUUCCCUCUGUCGACACACUCGAUUGCCAUCCAGGAAAUAAACAGCCCUGACACCAUGCUCCAGCCCCCUGGGAACUGAAUCCAACACGUCCAGCACUUGGCAUUGAAGUGAAGCAAUGAAGUCUAUCAGAACUCUGGGCCGUCUAAGCUUCUCCAGCGGCUGCCAGGGACUGCUCACUUCACGGAGCCAGCGGGCUUGCCCUCGCUGCCAGGCGGGCCGCGGCAGUUCCAGCUUCCUGUUGCCUUAGGGACCGAGACAAAGAAAAAUGAAGAGACCCCAGACAUCUUUCCCCUCCCUCCUUCUUGCAGCAGGGAGCUAGCAGGACACUAGGACCAGUCUGUGGGCUAGAAUGGACUUCAUGGGGACUGAAGGGGGAGGGAAGCUGCAAGGGGAGGGGAAGAUCUAUGACCCUAACUGUAUGCCUUUCUUGCAUCCCGCUGUCAUCCCAAAAGUAACUGGCCUGAUUUUUAGCAGCGUGGCCAUCUUCUGGUGUGGGUAACCGUCCCUGGGUGUGUCACCUCCAUACCUCCAAAUGCCUCCCCUGUAUCGAUUCAGUUGCCAUUGCAGCUGUGUGCUUCAUGUAUGGAACAGGAGGCUCAGACAUUUCCCUCCCCUGUAACCUGGGGAAUAUCAGAGGCAGGUAAUAAAGGUUGUUUAAGCAAUA